rnacentral:rRNA from 14 species
AAAGGAUAAAAGGUACUCCGGAUAACAGGCUGAUCUCCCCCAAGAGCUCACAUCGACGGGGGGGUUUGGCACCUCGAUGUCGGCUCGUCACAUCCUGGGGCUGGAGAAGGUCCCAAGGGUUGGGCUGUUCGCCCAUUAAAGCGGUACGCGAGCUGGGUUCAGAACGUCGCAAGACAGUUCGGUCUCUAUCUGUUGCGGGCGUAGGAAUAUUGCGGAGGUCUGUCUUUAGUACGAGAGGACCGAGAUGGACGAAUCUCUAGUGUAUCAGUUGUGCCGCCAGGUGCAUUGCUGAGUAGCUAUAUUCGGUUAGGAUAAGCACUGAAAGCAUCUAAGUGCGAAACUCGCCUCAAGAUGAGACUUCCCGGGG